AACUAUUAAUUGUCUGAAAAAACAAUUUGAGAGCAAAUGUAGGGAUAGUAUAUAUUUAAAGAGGACACAAUUGGCAAACAAAAAACAAAGGUAAUUCAACGUGUUGCUUUGGUUCUAUAAAAAAAAAUUAGUGUAAUAAAAACCGAAAAUAUUUGCUAGGAGGAUAGCAAAUUGACCAGGCGUUGAAUACCAAAUCAAGGUCUGCAACUAAGGUGUGAAUCAUCUUCAACAGAAGCUUGAGGCUCGAAAUAGGGUCUCUUGCUUCAGCAACUAAAUGAGGCUAUAUUCCCUCUCGCUUUCUCAUUUCAUUCAGGUUGAGGAGAAGAUGAUUUAGCGAAGAUAAUUUGGUUCAAAAUAAUGGAGCAAAGUAAUCCGAUGAAAGGCAUGGUAGAUUCUUUCAAUGUUUCGGUGGCUGCAGGUAUGGUCAUGCAUCAUGCUGUUUGUGACAAAAAUAGCUCGCCUGAGAUAAGAGAAAAUAUGUGGACAAAUGUCCUCACCAAUUGAUGUUUAAAAAGAACUCGAAGAAAAGAACAUGAAAGUGAAAAAAAGGGAAUGAGAACAACUACUGGCUUUUUGUGUUGAAGGGUGGCUUGCUAUGUACUUCGCUAAGUUUUUAAUAGUUCUCCACCUCUAAAUUUAUUAUUGCUUAAACUGCAAAUUAACCAUAAUCAAUUAUGCGAAAAUAUGACUUAAUAAUCUUUUUGUCUUAAUUAAAAACAAAAGGGGGCUUUGGGUUUGGACAUUGGAGGACUGGCAACAGGAUAUGGAAUGGGAGUCUUCUCAUAUGUGCUUAUGAUCUGCAGUGGAGUAUCUGUUGCCUUCAUAAUAUGGCAGUUCUAACUUGAGGGCUUUAGCAUUAACAAGUAAAAGUGUCUUAUCCAUUUAUUCAGAGCAAUUGGAUUCACAACAUUCUUCUGUAAAACCAUGUGUACGUGUGUGUGAGUGUGUUUCUAAAGCUAGAUAAGACAAGCUGGGACUCACAAGUAGAAUGAUUGCAGGAUUUAUUCCUUAUGCAAUUCUAGUCUUUGGACUCUUUUUCAUUCCAGAGUCUUCCAGAUGGCUGGUAUGAGAUAGCAGUUAAAAGAUGAUGGAAUCCUCUUUUUACCCUGAAUUAUAGUAACAUUAUAAAUGGGAAUUGGAUAAAAAUCUUAGAUAUAAUGCAGGCAAAGAUAGGACGUGAAAAAGAAUUUAAAGCAAAUGUGAUUUGGCUACUUAGGAAGCAGUAGGUAUGGUCAACAAAAUAAAGAUGGUGACUUGGCUCUGUUGCAUGAAAGCAAGCUUGAUUUUAGAGAUCCAUUUAGGAAGCAGAAAAUGAUAUGUAGGCAAGUGUAUCACUAACUACUUAUUCACAAGGUUAAUGGAAUUACUGCAGUUGUUUUUGCAAGCACUUACCAUUUGGCAUUUUGAGCAGAUAUCAUCAUAAGGCACCUACAUCAUGGACAGCGCCGACCACCACAUUCUUAUUCUCUAUGAUCUGCUUAUUAGUUGGCUAUAUCUUAUAUGAUGUGGCAAUGCACAUUGUUAAAGUUGAAGAUGAUUUCCACCAAAUGCAAGAACUGAAGGUUUGAGUAGAAGCUGUUGAUGUUGCCAAAUCGCAGUUUCUGGUAACAAUUUCUCAUGAAAUUAGGACUCCCAUGAAUGGCAUCCUUCGUAUGUUCCAGAUCUCUCCUUAAGGUUUUCUCUGUAAAAUAUACCUGCGAGGACAUUAAUAAAUUUUAAUCCGGUAAUGUUCUUAUGACUUUUUGAAUGGUUGCAGGGAUACUGGCUUUGCUUUUAGAUACAAAUUUAAGUUCAACACAAAAGGAUUACGCUCAAACUGCUCAAGAUUGUGGAAAGGCGCUGAUAACAUUGAUAAAUGAUGUGCUUGACCAAGCAAAAAUUGAAGCAGGAAAGCUAGAGCUCAAAUUUGUCGUCUUUGACCUUCGAACUAUUCUAGAUGAUAUGCUCUCUUUAUUUUCUGAAAAGUGUAAAAGCAAAGGUGUUAAGCUGGCAGUUUUUGUUUCUGAUAAAAUUCCUAAAAGAGUUGUGGGAGAGCCAGGGAAAUUCAAACAGAUCAUUACUAAUCUUGUUGGGAACUCUGUUAAAGUAAGUGGGUUGCCCUACCUCCACUCUUUUUGGCACUAAUUUAGAUAGAACUAGGGGUGUAAUCAAGAGAGUCUUAUUUAGAGACUCUAGCUAAAGCACAAGCUCAAAUUUAGUUUACUAUUGAAUUGUCUUUGGUUUGGGCUGCAUUUUUAGAAAUUCAAACUUUAGUUUUGCACCUUGAUUACCGUGUUACACUUUGUAGAUUCAAUUGGUGAUGUUCUUUAUUUACUGCAGUACUGCUCUGUGGUUCUUGGUUUGGAUCGUACAUUUGAAUCGCAUGUUUAUGCUGGUUAUCUAUAUGUAUGAAGUAUUGGUUAUUGAUGUGAACUAUUGAUUAUUUGUGUGAGGUACUGUGUUUUCCAUUGCAUAAUUUAUAUUCUGCAUAGUUUUUUUGGGCAACUGGUUUUUCUUCUCAUACUAUCAGUAUUCUCAU